rnacentral:rRNA from 1 species
CUUGAACAGCGAGUGACCAGCUCCGAAAGGAGCCUUCCGCAAGGACACUCGUAGAGGUGCUGCAUGGCUGUCGUCAGCUCGUGUCGUGAGAUGUUGGGUUAAGUCCCGCAACGAGCGCAACCCUUGUUUUGCUGUUGCCAUCACGUUAUGGUGGGCACUCUGCAAAGACUGCCGGUGAUAAACCGGAGGAAGGUGGGGAUGACGUCAAGUCAGCAUGGCCUUUAUGUCUGGGGCUACACACGUGCUACAAUGGCCGGUACAAACCGUCGCGAUACCGUAAGGUGGAGCUAAUCGGAGAAAGCCGGUCUCAGUUCGGAUCGUAGGCUGCAACUCGCCUGCGUGAAGUUGGAAUCGCUAGUAAUCGCGGAUCAGCACGCCGUGGUGAAUACGUUCCCGGGCCUUGUACACACCGCCCGUCACAUCACGAAAGCCGGUUGUACUAGAAGUCGCCACACUAACCCGCAAGGGAGGGAGGCGCCUAAGGUAUGGUCGGUGAUUGGGGUGAAGUCGUAACAAGGUAAGCGUAGUGCU